AGAGUUUGAUCAUGGCUCAGAAUCAACGCUGGCGGCGUGCCUAACACAUGCAAGUCGAACGCGAAAAUGGAGCAAUCCAUGAGUAGAGUGGCAAACGGGUGAGUAACGCGUGGGUGACCUGCCUUCGAGUGGGGGAUAACGUUUCGAAAGGAACGCUAAUACCGCAUGACAUCCGGCUUUUGAAGAGGCCGAGAUCAAAG
rnacentral:rRNA from 1 species